AACGGCCCAGGCCCUAGGCAUUUGGACAGGGCUACCACUCAGGCAGGAGAGAUGCUGAGGCUCAGCGUGGGAGUGUGGAAGGGGCAGCUGACCAUGACCCUUCUCCUCCCAGCUUUGAAUCUCAUUUUACUUCAGAGACUGCAGAGCCCUGAAGCAGAGCCGCCUCCCUCAGUCUGCAGAAUCCAGGUUGCUCUUCAGGCCCUUGCGUGGGACAUCUGGACAAUCUGCCUGUUAUGUGGAUAGAAGCUUUAUCUUUGAUUCCUGCCCAGGGUCUGUGUCUCCCCCUGCCCACACCACUUCACACUAUCAGCCCUUGGUGCACGUCUGACCACCCGGCAUGAGGUGCUCAUGGGACUUUCCAGAAGGAGGCUUCUCUCAUGGAAUGCCUGGGGCUCAAGAGCACUAGAACUCCAGGAAUGGGGCAGUUCCAAUUUCCCUGGUGGCAAGUACAGUUGGAGCAUGUGAUGGCACAUCACCAGCAAAGGAAUGAACCUGGAGAUGAAAAUGGAGUUCAGUGGAGAGUCAGACUCACGGCUAAGAAAACACAGAGGCCUCGUGGGGAGCUCAGUAGGGGGUCUAGGCAGCUCAUUGAAUACCUGGUGUUAACCCUUAAUGGACAAAGCUACUAUCAACCAUGGCUGCUGCUGUGGCCUCCAUCGUAACAGAAAGGAAGCAUUCGCUGUUCUUGACCGUAUCUGUAAGAAGUCAAGAAUCAUUAGCUUUCAAUACAUCAUGUGCCAAUAACUGGAGGAAUUAGUAGCUUUGAUGAUUCUCAUGAAGAGUGCCUCAAAUCUAAAAGAGAAGAGGAAGAGUGACUGGCUGCAUAAAAUUCUCUGCAUGAGGUGUCACCAACCAGUAGGGAGGGG
rnacentral:lncRNA from 1 species